AUGCAAGUCGAACGGUAACAGGAUGUGCUUGCACAUCGCUGACGAGUGGCGGACGGGUGAGUAAUGCUUGGGAACUUGCCUUUGCGAGGGGGAUAACAGUUGGAAACGACUGCUAAUACCGCAUAAUGUCUACGGACCAAACGGGGCUUCGGCUCCGGCGCAAAGAGAGGCCCAAGUGAGAUUAGCUAGUUGGUAAGGUAACGGCUUACCAAGGCGACGAUCUCUAGCUGUUCUGAGAGGAAGAUCAGCCACACUGGGACUGAGACACGGCCCAGACUCCUACGGGAGGCAGCAGUGGGGAAUAUUGCACAAUGGGGGAAACCCUGAUGCAGCCAUGCCGCGUGUGUGAAGAAGGCCUUCGGGUUGUAAAGCACUUUCAGUUGUGAGGAAAAGUUAGUAGUUAAUACCUGCUAGCCGUGACGUUAACAACAGAAGAAGCACCGGCUAACUCCGUGCCAGCAGCCGCGGUAAUACGGAGGGUGCGAGCGUUAAUCGGAAUUACUGGGCGUAAAGCGCACGCAGGCGGUUUGUUAAGCUAGAUGUGAAAGCCCCGGGCUCAACCUGGGAUGGUCAUUUAGAACUGGCAGACUAGAGUCUUGGAGAGGGGAGUGGAAUUCCAGGUGUAGCGGUGAAAUGCGUAGAUAUCUGGAGGAACAUCAGUGGCGAAGGCGACUCCCUGGCCAAAGACUGACGCUCAUGUGCGAAAGUGUGGGUAGCGAACAGGAUUAGAUACCCUGGUAGUCCACACCGUAAACGCUGUCUACUAGCUGUGUGUGCCUU
rnacentral:rRNA from 1 species